rnacentral:rRNA from 1 species
CGGCAACAGCUCAAAUUUGAAAUCUGGCCUCUCGGGGUCCGAGUUGUAAUUUGUAGAAGAUGCUUCGGGUGUGGCUCCGGUCUAAGUUCCUUGGAACAGGACGUCAUAGAGGGUGAGAAUCCCGUAUGUGACUGGGUGCUUUCGCUCAUGUGAAGCUCUUUCGAC